rnacentral:rRNA from 1 species
UACGUAGGGACCAAGCGUUGUCCGGAAUCAUUGGGCGUAAAGCGCGCGUAGGUGGCCAUUUAAGUCCGCUGUGAAAGUCAAAGGCUCAACCUUUGAAAGCCGAUGGAUACUGCAGGGCUGGAGUCCGGAAGAGGCGAGUGGAAUUCCUGGUGUAGCGGUGGAAUGCGCAGAUAUCAGGAGGAACACCAAUAGCGAAGGCAGCUCGCUGGGACGGUACUGACGCUGAGGCGCGAAAGCGUGGGGAGCGAACAGG